rnacentral:rRNA from 1 species
AAGCGCCCGUGGUUAGACUCGCGCCCUGCGGAUCAACCGGCUCUCCGCCGGUGCACUCUGUAGGGCUCGGGCCAGCGUCGGCUUGCGCUGGGGCUUAAAGACGGUGGGAACGUAGUUCGCCCUUCGGGGUGAGCGUUAUAGCCCGUCGUGUAACGCCCUGGUGCAGGCCGAGGUUCGCGCUCCGCAAGGACGCUGGCGUAAUGACCACUGGCGG